GCCGCUGUAGCUCAGUCGGUAGAGCAAAGGACUGAAAAUCCUUGUGUCAAGAGUUCGAUUCUCUUUGGCGGCA
rnacentral:tRNA from 1 species